rnacentral:rRNA from 1 species
GAUGAACGCUGGCGGCGUGCCUAAUACAUGCAAGUCGAGCGAACAGACGAGGAGCUUGCUCCUCUGACGUUAGCGGCGGACGGGUGAGUAACACGUUGAUAACCUACCUAUAAGACUGGGAUAACUUCGGGAAACCGGAGCUAAUACCGGAUAAUAUAUUGAACCGCAUGGUUCAAUAGUGAAAGACGGUUUUGCUGUCACUUAUAGAUGGAUCCGCGCCGCAUUAGCUAGUUGGUAAGGUAACGGCUUACCAAGGCAACGAUGCGUAGCCGACCUGAGAGAGUGAUAGGCCACACUGGAACUGAGACAGGGACCAGACUCCGACGGGAGGCAGCAGUAGGGAAUCUGCCGCAAUGGGCGAAAGCCUGACGGAGAAACGCCGCGUGAGUGAUGAAGGUAUUCGGAUCGUAAAAAUCUGUUAUUAGGGAAGAACAAAUGUGUAAGUAACUAUGCACGUCUUGACGGUACCUAAUCAGAAAGACACGGCUAACUACGUG